rnacentral:rRNA from 1 species
AUUGAACGCUGGCGGCAUGCCUUACACAUGCAAGUCGAACGGUAACAGGUCUUCGGACGCUGACGAGUGGCGAACGGGUGAGUAAUACAUCGGAACGUGCCCAGUCGUGGGGGAUAACUACUCGAAAGAGUAGCUAAUACCGCAUACGAUCUGAGGAUGAAAGCGGGGGACCUUCGGGCCUCGCGCGAUUGGAGCGGCCGAUGGCCGAUUAGGUAGUUGGUGGGAUAAAAGCUUACCAAGCCGACGAUCUGUAGCAGGUCUGAGAGGACGACCAGCCAGACUGGGACUGAGACACGGCACAGACUCCUACGGGAGGCAGCAGUGGGGAAUUUUGGACAAUGGGCGAAAGCCUGAUCCAGCAAUGCCGCGUGCAGGAUGAAGGCCUUCGGGUUGUAAACUGCUUUUGUACGGAACGAAAGAGCUCCUUCUAAUACAGGGGGCCCAUGACGGUACCGUAAGAAUAAGCACCGGCUAACUACGUGCCAGCCGCCGCCGUAA